rnacentral:rRNA from 1 species
GCGGGAGCAAUCUCGCGAGUACAGUGGCGUACGGGUGAGUAACACGUGGAUUAUCUGCCCUGGAGUGGGGAAUAACGCUGGGAAACCGGCGCUAAUACCGCAUAUUCCCGAGAGGGGAAAGCAGCAAUGCGCUCGAGGAGGAGUCCGCGGCCGAUUAGCUAGUUGGCAGGGUAAAAGCCUACCAAGGCUAUGAUCGGUAGCCGGCCUGAGAGGGCACACGGCCACACUGGCACUGAAACACGGGCCAGACUCCUACGGGAGGCAGCAGUGGGGAAUCUUGCACAAUGGGGGAAACCCUGAUGCAGCGACGCCGCGUGAGCGAUGAAGCCCUUCGGGGUGUAAAGCUCUUUCGGCAGGGAAGAUUAUGACGGUACCUGCAGAAGCAGCUGCGGCUAACUACGUGCCAGCAGCCGCGGUAAUACGUAGGCAGCAAGCGUUGUUCGGAAUUACUGGGCGUAAAGAGUGUGUAGGCGGUGCUCCAAGUCUGUUGUGAAAUCUCCCGGCUUAACCGGGAGGGUGCGGCGGAAACUGGUGUGCUAGAGGGUGGGAGAGGUAAGCGGAAUUCCUGGUGUAGCGGUGAAAUGCGUAGAUAUCAGGAGGAACACCUGUGGUGUAGACAGCUUACUGGACCACUUCUGACGCUGAGACACGAAAGCGUGGGUAGCAAACAGGAUUAGAUACCCUGGUAGUCCACGCCCUAAACGAUGCAUACUUGGUGUGAGCGAUUCAUUUCGUUCGUGCCGG